CAGGCGGCGCGGGCGGCGGUAAAAUGUCGGUUCCAGGACCUUACCAGGCGGCCACUGGGCCUUCCUCAGCACCAUCCGCACCUCCAUCCUAUGAAGAGACAGUGGCUGUUAACAGUUAUUACCCCACACCUCCAGCUCCCAUGCCUGGGCCAACUACGGGGCUUGUGACGGGGCCUGAUGGGAAGGGCAUGAAUCCUCCUUCGUAUUAUACCCAGCCAGCGCCCAUCCCCAAUAACAAUCCAAGUGCAUAGCGGGCUGCUGCUUCAUCCCCUUCUGCGUGGAUGCCCUGCAGGACGUGGACCAUUACUGUCCCAACUGCAGAGCUCUCCUGGGCACCUACAAGCGUUUGUAGGACUCAGCCAGACGUGGAGGGAGCCGGGUGCCGCAGGAAGUCCUUUCCACCUCUCAUCCAGCUUCACGCCUGGUGGAGGUUCUGCCCUGGUGGUCUCACCUCUCCAGGGGGCCCACCUUCAUGUCUUCUUUUGGGGGGAAUACGUCGCAAAACUAACAAAUCUCCAAACCCCAGAAAUUGCUGCUUGGAGUCGUGCAUAGGACUUGCAAAGACAUUCCCCUUGAGUGUCAGUUCCACGGUUUCCUGCCUCCCUGAGACCCUGAGUCCUGCCAUCUAACUGUGAUCAUUGCCCUAUCCGAAUAUCUUCCUGUGAUCUGCCAUCAGU
rnacentral:lncRNA from 1 species